ACGUGAUCUGAGUUCAGACCGGAGUAAUCCAGGUCAGUUUCUAUCUAUAAAACAGUUUUUUCUAGUACGAAAGGACCGAGAAAACAUGGCCUAUAUUUUAUGCAAGCCAUAAUUAUUAACUUAUGAUCAAAUCUUAAUAAGUAAUUAAACCACACUAAGCUUAAAAAAAGAGUA
rnacentral:rRNA from 1 species